ensembl:snoRNA SNORD115 Small nucleolar RNA SNORD115
GGGUCUAUGAUGAGAACUCAUAUGGUCCUGAAGAGAGAGGAUGACCUAAAUGUCAUGCUCAAUAGGAUUACACCGAGGCGC